rnacentral:rRNA from 1 species
GAUGAACGCUAGCGAUAGGCUUAACACAUGCAAGUCGAGGGACCGGCGCACGGGUGCGUAACGCGUAUGCAACUUGCCUCACAGAGGGGGAUAACCCGUCGAAAGACGGACUAAUACCGCGUACUGUGAGGUAGGCAUGCGUCCCAUUAGCUCGUUGGUGAGGUAACGGCACAACAAGGCGACGAUGCGUAGGGGAACUGAGAGGUUGAACCCCCACACUGGUACUGCGACACGGACCAGACUCGUACGGGAGGCAGCAGAGAGGAAGAUUGGGAAAUGGGCGAGAGCCUGAACCAGCCAAGUCGCGUGAAGGAUGACUGUCUAGUGAUUGUAAACUUCUUGGAUACGGGAAUAUGUACCGUAUGAAUAAGCAUCGGCUAACUCCGUGCCAGCAGCCGCGGUAAUUC